rnacentral:rRNA from 1 species
GACGAACCGUGCGAACGUUGUUCGGAAUCACUGGGCUUAAAGGGCGCGUAGGCGGGCGGCCGCGUCCGGGGUGAAAUCCCACGGCUCAACCGUGGAACGGCCUCGGAUACGGGCGACCUCGAGGGGGGUAGGGGCAUCUGGAACUGUGAGUGGAGCGGUGAAAUGCGUUGAUAUUCACAGGAACUCCGGUGGCGAAGGCGAGGUGCUGGACCCCAUCUGACGCUGAGGCGCGAAAGCCAGGGGAGCGAACGGG